AACGAACGCUGGCGGCAGGCCUAACACAUGCAAGUCGAGCGAACCCUUCGGGGUUAGCGGCGGACGGGUUAGUAACGCGUGGGAAUAUACCCUUUGGUACGGAGUAGCCUCGGGAAACUGAGAGUAAUACCGUAUGUGCCCUUCGGGGGAAAGAUUUAUCGCCAAAGGAUUAGCCCGCGUUGGAUUAGAUAGUUGGUGGGGUAAUGGCCUACCAAGUCUACGAUCCAUAGCUGGUUUGAGAGGAUGAUCAGCAACACUGGGACUGAGACACGGCCCAGACUCCUACGGGAGGCAGCAGUGGGGAAUCUUAGACAAUGGGCGCAAGCCUGAUCUAGCCAUGCCGCGUGGACGAUGAAGGCCUUAGGGUUGUAAAGUCCUUUCAGAUGGGAAGAUAAUGACGGUACCAUCAGGAGAAGCCCCGGCUAACUCCGUGCCAGCAGCCGCGGU
rnacentral:rRNA from 1 species